AACUGUUACAUUUAGAUGGGGUGGACAGUUUAUAGUGAAAGGUUGUUAUUGAGCCGUAAAAGUCUGCGAUUCUCGGCCUCUGGAGGAGAGAAAUUCAAUCUGGGGCCAGUGACGAGGCUUGAUCGCUCAGAGCUUUUGUGUAAUAAAGAUUUAUUAAAGUAUAAAAGAGAUAGAGAAAGCUAAAGAAUGCCAAACGCUUUGCUGGUCCUCAAAUAACUCUCCCAUGGGUAUAAAGAACUGCUGGGGAGAGGUGAGUACCAAGGUUGGGGCUUCCAAAUCCCCAGAAUAGCUCAAGGACAAAGGAGUAGGGGUUGAUAAAAGUAGGGAGGGAGAAUGGUCACUCAUGGCCUUUAUCUUCUCCUUUAAAAAAAAAAAAAGCAACAUAUUGUGUCAAGGCUUAUUCUAAAGUCUUAAUCAUCAGAAGGAUGUGGUUUUAACACAGAAGUUGAUCCAGAAUUGUGUAAUUGUAUAAAUUCAUGUUUGGUGGGUGUUUUAAGAGGGUGAAUGACGAUUACAUUAUUCCCAUUAUAGAAAUGGCAUACGGAGUCUCUCUCCUUCAUGGUUUUGGAGGAUGAACUUCAAUGCCUGGAAGAACUAGAAAAAGGCCAUUUGAUUACCAAGUUUUUGGUAUAUUUAGCACCGCCACUGUCUUCCCCUUACUUCACUUCUGACUUUCUCCCUUAAUCCUUUCUGCUUCUGUCGGAUUCUGACAUAGCUGGCAAAAAUCCAGGGAAUUUGCAGAAACAGGCUGUUCACGUCCCACGCUGGUGCUGUCACUGCAGACUGCUUCAGAGCUGCUGUCUCCCGGGCUUGGACAAAGUGUCAGGCCUCCGUCUUUGUCAUCACAAUCCGGGUGUCUGCCCUGUGUGCUGGGUACCUUGCAGAGCCAGCAGACCAGCCCCAGGCAUGCCCUCUGGGUACUUAGACUGAAGAGGGGACUGUAGAGAGUACUCCGAACUAGACAGUGGAGAUAAAAGAGGGGCAGAUCAGGUAAAGGCGUGGAUGUACAUUGAUAACUUUUCUAUGAUGACUUUGAAUAACAGGAGUUGGAGAUGUCCUCUGUCAAGAUUAUUCUGGCAGCCACCUGCAUGUUGGAUGGAGGGAAGUGUGAAAUCUGAUGGAUUAUGAUGUUUGUGUACUCCUGUGAGACCAUCACCACUAUCGAGGUAACAAAUGUAUUUGUUAUCCCCUCAAAUGUCCUCUUAACUUUUAAUCCCUCUCUCCCUUCUCUACUCUUUGGUUAGUUUGCAUUUUAUAGAAAUUUGUAUGAAUGGAAUCAUACAUUAUGUACUCUUCUUUUCGCUUCUUUCACUCAGCAUAAUUUUGAGAUUCAUCCAGCUUGUUGUUAUGUAUCAGCAGUUUGUUCCUUUUUUAUUGCCAAAUAGUAUUCCACUGUGUGGAUAUACUGUACCAAAAUUUACCGUCUAUCCACUUGUUGAUGGACAUUUGGGCUCUUUCCAGUUUUUGCUAUUACAAAUAACUGCUACAAACAUUCACAUGCAACUUUUCAUAUGUAUAUAUGCUCUCACAACUUUUAGAUAAAUACCUAAGAGUGGAUUGACUAGGUCGUGUAGUAAUUAUUCCUCUGUUCUAAAAGGGUCACUUUUAUCUUCUUUUUUGGUAACCCUGACCAAUUUAGUAUUGCAGUUUUAAAAUUUUUAAAUUACUAAAAGUCCAAGCUUUUUUCCAAGUAAAUGAUGGAGAAACAAAAAUGAGACUCUGGUGGUCAGCUAGGUUUUUCUUUUCUUUUGAGCAAGCAUGGCUCUUAUUCACAUGGGAAAUUACAUAGACUUGAUGGAGUCCCACGAUGCCAAAGCAAAUUCCCUCUUCUGAGGUGCAGUAGUAAACACACAAUAGGCAUAAGGUAGGAGUGUGAGGAUGAAAGGGGGCUGGUAAUUGGUAUUUAUUCAGAGAAAUUUCUCUGCCAUGGUGGAAUUUAUGGGUUGGGUGGGAUGAGGAUGAACAAGCUAACUUUCUAGCUGCUAGAAAGCAGCUAGCCCACAGGAAUUCUAGGAGGCUGUCAGGAAAAGGCACACAGCCCCAGGACGACAGAGUUCCUGGGAAGACUGAGGAAUUCAUAGUAGCAUUCCCCAUCCCCUGACAUCCGUUUUCUACAACUAUCUUUCCUUUUAUUUUGACCUUCUGUUUCCUGUUUCUGUCCAUUUUUAAAAAACUGAGAUCCAACUCCUUUUAGUUUUAUGUGUGUGUUAAAAUACAUGCAACAGGGAUUUCCCUGGCGGUCUGGUGGAUAAGAGUCUGCCUUGCAUUGCAGGGUAUGCAGGUUCGAUCUGUGAUCUGGGAACUAAGAUAUCACAUGACGCAAAGAAGAUCCCUCAUGUCGCAAGCAAGACCCAUCACAGCCAAAUAAAUAAAUAAUAUACAUACCAUAAAAUUUA